UACGAAGGGGGCUAGCGUUGUUCGGAAUUACUGGGCGUAAAGCGCACGUAGGCGGAUAUUAAGUCAGGGGUGAAAUCCCAGAGCUCAACUCUGGAACUGCCUUUGAUACUGGGUAUCUUGAGUAUGGAAGAGGUAAGUGGAAUUGCGAGUGUAGAGGUGAAAUUCGUAGAUAUUCGCAGGAACACCAGUGGCGAAGGCGGCUUAA
rnacentral:rRNA from 1 species